rnacentral:rRNA from 1 species
GUGCCAGCCGCCGCGGUAAUACGUAGGGGGCGAGCGUUGUCCGGAAUUAUUGGGCGUAAAGGGUUCGCAGGCGGCCUUUUAAGUCAGAUGUGAAAGAUCACGGCUCAACCGUGGUAAGCAUUUGAAACUGGAAGGCUUGAGUUAAGGAGAGGAAAGUGGAAUUCCUAGUGUAGCGGUGAAAUGCGUAGAUAUUAGGAGGAAUACCAGUGGCGAAGGCGACUUUCUGGACUUAUACUGACGCUGAGGAACGAAAGCGUGGGGAGCAAACAGGAUUAGAUACCCUGGUAGUCCACGCCGUAAACGAUGAGUGCUAGGUGUCGGGUGUCAAAGCUCGGUGCCGCAGCUAACGCAUUAAGCACUCCGCCUGGGGAGUACGUGCGCAAGCAUGAAACUCAAAUAAAUUGACGG